rnacentral:rRNA from 1 species
GAUGAACGCUGGCGGCGUGCCUAAUACAUGCAAGUCGAGCGAACGGACGAGAAGCUUGCUUUUCUGAUGUUAGCGGCGGACGGGUGAGUAACACGUGGAUAACCUACCUAUAAGACUGGGAUAACUUCGGGAAACCGGAGCUAAUACCGGAUAAUAUUUUGAACCGCAUGGUUCAAAAGUGAAAGACGGUCUUGCUGUCACUUAUAGAUGGAUCCGCGCUGCAUUAGCUAGUUGGUAAGGUAACGGCUUACCAAGGCAACGAUGCAUAGCCGACCUGAGAGGAUGAUCGGCCACACUGGAACUGAGACACGGUCCAGACUCCUACGGGAGGCAGCAGUAGGGAAUCUUCCGCAAUGGGCGAAAGCCUGACGGAGCAACACCGCGUGAGUGAUGAAGGUCUUCGGAUCGUAAAACUCUGUUAUUAGGGAAGAACAUAUGUGUAAGUAACUGUGCACAUCUUGACGGUACCUAAUCAGAAAGCCACGGCUAACUACGUG